rnacentral:rRNA from 1 species
UACGUAGAGUGCAAGCGUUGUCCGGAAUUAGUUGGGCGUAAAGGGUACGCAGGCGGAUAAGUAAAGUCGAGCGUGAAAGGUGUCGGCUUAACCGACAGACUGCGUUUAGAAACUGAUUAUCUUGAGUGUAACAGAGGAGAGUGGAAUUCCUAGUGUAGUGGUGAAAUACGUAGAUAUUAGGAAGAACACCAGUGGCGAAGGCGACUCUCUGGGUUAACACUGACGCUGAGGUACGAAAGCGUGGGGGAGCAAACGGGAUUAGACUACCCCCGUAGU